AACGUAGGACGCAAGCGUUAUCCGGAGUUACUGGGCGUAAAGCGCGCGCAGGCGGCUCGAAACGUCUGAUGUGAAAUCUCCUCGCUCAACGGGGAGAGGCCAUUGGAAACGGUCGAGCUGGAGGGCAGUAGAGGUAGGCGGAAUUCCGGGUGGAGUGGUGAAAUGCGUAGAUAUGCGGAGGAACACCGAUGGCGAAGGCAAUCCCCUGGACCUGUACUGACGCUCAUGCACGAAAGCGUGGGGAGCAAACAGG
rnacentral:rRNA from 1 species